UUCACCAUAGUGUCUCCUCUUUCUCUCCGCGCAGUAUCUUAGAGUAUUAGUGGGAGUUCGAAGAAACACUGGAGAUAGUGCUUCAAUGGCGUUGACGCUGAAUACAGCUCCAUUUGUGAGAUCAUCGAGCAUCCAAGCCAAUCGAGUUCGAAUUCAGUAUGCUCUAUCGCCGGUUUCUGUUUCGUUUUCUAGAAGGAGACUAUUGGUUAUUGCCGCUGAAACUGACAAGAAUGAAGUUAAAUCUCAGGCACCAGAUAAAGCGCCGGCGAGUGGUGGUUCGAGCUUCAACCAGCUUCUUGGAAUUAAAGGUGCUGCGCUAGAAACUAAUAAAUGGAAGAUUCGUCUUCAAUUGACAAAGCCUGUUACAUGGCCGCCCUUGGUUUGGGGAGUAGUGUGUGGAGCUGCUGCUUCUGGUAACUUCCAUUGGAAUUUCGAGGAUGUGGCUAAAUCAAUUACUUGCAUGCUUAUGUCUGGUCCAUUUCUCACUGGCUACACGCAGACGAUCAAUGAUUGGUAUGAUCGAGAAAUUGAUGCAAUUAAUGAACCUUAUCGUCCAAUCCCGUCUGGGGCAAUAUCUGAGAAUGAGGUUAUGGCACAAAUAUGGGUGUUGCUUCUGGGAGGACUUGGCUUGGCUGGUUUGUUAGAUGUGUGGGCAGGGCAUGACAUUCCUAUAGUCUUUUACCUUGCUCUGGGUGGCUCUUUGUUAUCAUACAUAUACUCUGCUCCACCUCUAAAGCUGAAACAAAAUGGAUGGAUUGGAAAUUGUGCUCUUGGAGCUAGUUAUAUCAGUUUACCAUGGUGGGCAGGUCAAGCUUUAUUUGGAACACUCGCUCCUGAUAUUGUGGUUCUUACACUCUUGUACAGCAUAGCUGGAUUUGGAAUAGGCAUUGUAAAUGAUUUCAAAAGUGUUGAGGGGGAUAGAGCUUUAGGACUUCAGUCACUUCCAGUAGCUUUUGGUGCUGAAACUGCUAAAUGGAUUUGCGUUGGCGCUAUUGACAUAACUCAAUUAUCUGUUGCUGGUUAUCUGUUGGGAGCUGGCAAGCCGUAUUACGCAUUAGCCCUCCUUGCUCUAAUUGCUCCCCAAGUUUUUUUCCAGUUCAAAUACUUUCUCAAGGACCCCGUCAAGUACGAUGUCAAAUAUCAGGCCAGUGCCCAGCCAUUUCUUGUGCUGGGGCUGUUGGUCACUGCUCUUGCUACCAGCCAUUGAACUCUAGCAUGCGGAAAAUCAAACGUACGUACACGUACAGACAUGCGUGACUAACGCAAUGCCAGCAAGAGCAUACAGCAAAAGUCUGCGGACUCCCCCAGCAGCAGCCAGCCCAAGUCAGGUUGCAAUUGAAUCAGAAUAUGCAUACAUACUGGAAUUCUGUUCUCUUGCUUCCGACUGCUCGUAUAUUUUUCAGGUCUGCCAACCAACUACGCUGGCUUAAAUUUCUUCUCAUUCAGAUUCUGAUAUUCUAUUUGAUGCAUUUUACUUGUAACCCUCUCAAAAUGAUCAACAUCGUUAUAAUUAAGAUAUUUAGUUCUUGAGAACACUUAGGAUUGAAGAACACUUAGAUAUUUAGUUCUGUUUAGCCAUAUGUAGGAUUUUAGGUGGUGUUCACUCUGUCCUUCACAGGAAUAUACUCUA